AUUGAACGCUGGCGGCAGGCCUAACACAUGCAAGUCGAACGAGUGGCGGACGGGUGAGUAAUGUCUGGGAAACUGCCCGAUGGAGGGGGAUAAUUACUGGAAACGGUAGCUAAUACCGCAUAUGAUCGGAAGUGCCCAGAUGGGAUUGGCUAGUAGGUGGGGUAACGGCUCACCUAGGGGACGAUCCCUAGCUGGUCUGAGUGGAUGACCAGCCACCCUGGAACUGAGGCACGGUCCAGACUCCGACGGGAGGCAGCGGUGGGGAAUAUUGCACGAUGGGCGCAAGCCUGAUGCAGCCAUACCGCGUGUAUGAAGAAGGCCUUCGGGUUGUAAAGUACUUUCAGCGAGGAGGCGUUACUCGCAGAAGAAGCACCGGCUAACUCCGUGCCAGCAGCCGCGGUAAUUC
rnacentral:rRNA from 1 species